rnacentral:rRNA from 1 species
AACGAACGCUGGCGGCAUGCCUAACACAUGCAAGUCGAACGAGACCUCCGUGCCUACUGGCUCCUGGGUGCGUUACGCGUGGGAACCUGCCCUUAGGUUCGGCAUUACACUUCGAAAGGGGUGCUAAUACCGGGUAAUGUCUUCGGAUCAAAGAUUUGUCGCCUUUGGAUGGGCCGGCGUUGUUUUAGCGUGUUGGUAGGGGAAAAGCCUACCAAGGCGAGGAUCCAUAGCUGGGCUGUGAGGAUGGUCAGCGACACUGGGACUGGGACACGGCCCAGACUCGUAGGGGAGGCAGCGAAGGGUAAUAUAGGACAAUGGGCGAAAUGCUGAUCCAGCAAGGCCGGGAGAGUGAUGAUGGCGUUAGAGUUGUAUAGCUCUUUUACCCAGGAUUAUUAUGACGGUACCGAGAGAAUAAGCACCGGCUAACUCCGUG